CAGGGCUCUUCCCAACCCAGAGAGAGCCAGGACUUGCUGACAGCAAGCUUGGGUGGCUGUUUCCAACCCUGACCUGCUCAUCACAGCCAGUGGGAAUCCAGCCUCUGCAGGACACGGACACGUCCUCCCACGCAGGACCUUCUCCCCAGCGACAGUCACUGUUGGUGUAACAGAAGCUGUAUUUCAUUCUGAUGUUGAACGAGCCUCGCAGCGCAGCUGACAAGCUUGCAGUCCUCACUUCCAGUCAGGCAUUGAAUUUUACUGAAUUGUUUUGCCUGGAGAGAAAAGCAGCAAAUACCCCCUGCAGCAGAGCUGCCCAGAGCCACCAGCUCACCUGAGGAGCAUCUCUGUUGGAGGACAACUCUUGCUCAGCCCCUUCUGGACAUGGCAGUGAAGAGCUGGUUUGGAGAGGAGAUAAUACAAGCUCGAGGUUUAGAGGGUGAUUCAUCAUCGGCCUCUUUCCACCAGCAGAUCAGUGCAGGAGGCACCCUCUCCUCAAAUGCUGGUUUUCUUGAAUCCUAGUAAGGAUUUAGUAAGGUUCAGACAUAGGGCCUCAGGUGCACGUUACACAUAAAAUAUUACACCACUGAAUGGGAAAGGAAUUAAUGCUACCCUCAAGAUGAUAUACUGAAUAACUGGUCAGUUAAUAUCACUUUAUUCACCACAAAUUGGGGUCAGACAUCACAGUCUUGGGAAAUUCAGGAUCCCAGGAAAACUACAUGGCGGGACUGUGCCACGGGAUACGUGAAUCAUUUUCUUUCUGAGAAAAACAGGUUGAACUGCUGGUAAAAUAUCUGAGUCUUUACUCAGUCCUGUCAUUUGUAUGCUGGUAUGAUUAACUUUCUAGCAGCAGAAAAUCAGGUCCAUAAGGUUCUAUUUGGACAGUAUAAUUAACAAAAGGAAUAGCUCCGUUACCAGGUUGUUCUGGGAACCAGACUCUGGGGCUGCAUUAGCAACACAAAGAUUAUAUUCCUGCAGGGAUCAACACAAACCAACAUGAUCUGAUGGCCAAACCCAGACCUUGAACAGGGAGCUCCAUCAGCACUCUAAUAUCUGUGCCUCAGCGUGGUUUGUUAUCUGGGAACACCCUGAGCUUGGCUACAACCAUCCCAAAGUCAUCAUUUCACCAGCAGCUGGAGCGGGGUGCUCAGGUCAGCUCUGAUUUCUGGAGAAAGAAAAGGGAUGGUUCAAUCUGUGGGUGCUGCUGGGCUAUGAGGUGUUAUCUUACUCUGAUACUUUCCCUACACUUCUGUUCAGUGCUCCCCUACAGCACAAAAUGUUCCCCUUCCCAAAACUGCAAGAGCCCUGUGAAACUGCCAGCUGUGGGGAAGGAGAACCAGAGAUCACCACAGCUAAUUCAAGAAACAGAAUAUAUGACUGUUACCAUCUAAACUUAUGCCAGCCUAGUAGAUCCAGAGAAAUCAGAUUAAAUUCCAGCUUUUGAGAAUCCAUCAUUCAGCAUUCUGGAAGAGCUUUGGAAGCCCAUGACUUAAUGGCACUGAACAAAAAGACUGUUCCUUUCAGAGAAGAAGCUAUUGCCAAAAUGUCAAUGUAGAAAAUGGGAAUAACAGUUUUAAUUUGGAUUUUUUCUGCUUUAGUGUUCUCUCCACUUCUUUAACUAGAAAACUGCUUUAUUACCUGGGAAAAAAUACUUUUGUAUUUUGCUG